rnacentral:sRNA from 1 species
UUUGAUAAAGUUUGCAAAAUUAAAAAAAAUCAAAGCUGACAAAAGAACGCUAACAGCAGCAAGAAAAUUGCGCUUCUCAAUGUUGAUUUCAAUUAAAAAACUUUAAAAGUUCCACCUUAUGGAAUCAUUAAUAUUGUGAGAAAUUUUGGCUAAACUCGAAAACAUUCUUAAACAACAUUGAGCCUACUGCUUAACAUUUUGCAAAAAUUAAUUAAUUUAUAUUUCAUUUCUUUGGAGACUCAUGGUUAAAUUUGAUGUGGGAUAUUUCUUCUUUUGACACUAUGCCCCUUAAGUAGAAUAUUGUAGGAGAUUUUGGUUAAAUUAGCUAAAAUAUGCUAAAAUAACACUUUAAGGCGUCAGCAAAUAAUUUUUGUAUGAAAUUUGCAAAUUUAUAUUUUAACUUCAUUAAAAAGUUUUAUAUGUA